rnacentral:rRNA from 1 species
CGAUAGCGUAUACUAAUGUUGUUGCAGUUAAAAAGCUCGUAGUUGAACUUCUGGUAGGAGUGUCCCGGCCUUUUUGUUUUUACAAAUUGUAUGCUGUGUGACAUCUCUGGCCAUCCUUCUUCUUUGUUUAAAGAAGAUCUUUCACUGUAAAAAAAUUAGGGUGUUCAAAGCAAAAGUUUCUUUGGAAUAUAUUAGUAUGGGAUGAUAAGAUAGGCUCUAGAUGCUAUUUUGUUGGUUUGCACAUUUAGAGAAUGAUUAACAGGGACAGUUGGGGGUAUUCGUAUUUACAUGUCAGAGGUGAAAUUCUUGGAUUUUGGAAAGACGAACUACUGCGAAAGCAUUUACCAAGGAUGUUUUCAUUAA